AUCCAGCUGACGAGUCCCAAAUAGGACGGAACGCGCGUCAAGCUGGAU
rfam:Schistosoma mansoni, Puerto Rico, WGS project CABG01000000 data, contig: 0013